GCCCUUGUAGCUCAGUGGUAGAGCGCAGCACUUGUACCACAUACGUCAUGCUGAGGUCCAUCGUUCAAUCCGGUGCGGGGGCA